CCUACGGGAGGCAGCAGUCGAGAAUCAUUCACAAUGGGGGAAACCCUGAUGGUGCGACGCCGCGUGGGGGAAUGAAGGUCUUCGGAUUGUAAACCCCUGUCAUGUGGGAGCAAAUUAAAAAGAUAGUACCACAAGAGGAAGAGACGGCUAACUCUGUGCCAGCAGCCGCGGUAAUACAGAGGUCUUAAGCGUUGUUCGGAAUCACUGGGCGUAAAGCGUGCGUAGGCUGUUUCGUAAGUCGUGUGUGAAAGGCGCGGGCUCAACCCGCGGACUGCACAUGAUACUGCGAGACUAGAGUGAUGGAGGGGGAACCGGAAUUCUUGGUGUAGCAGUGAAAUGCGUAGAGAUCGAGAGGAACACUCGUGGCGAAGGCGGGUUCCUGGACAUUAACUGACGCUGAGGCACGAAGGCCAGGGGAGCGAAAGGGAUUAGAUACCCCAGUAGUC
rnacentral:rRNA from 1 species